rnacentral:rRNA from 1 species
UGGGGAAUAUUGCACAAUGGGCGCAAGCCUGAUGCAGCCAUGCCGCGUGUAUGAAGAAGGCCUUCGGGUUGUAAAGUACUUUCAGCGAGGAGGAAGGCGGUAAGGUUAAUAACCUUAUCGAUUGACGUUACUCGCAGAAGAAGCACCGGCUAACUCCAUGCCAGCAGCCGCGGUAAUACGGAGGGUGCAAGCGUUAAUCGGAAUUACUGGGCGUAAAGCGCACGCAGGCGGUCUGUCAAGUCGGAUGUGAAAUCCCCGGGCUCAACCUGGGAACUGCAUUCGAAACUGGCAGGCUAGAGUCUUGUAGAGGGGGGUAGAAUUCCAGGUGUAGCGGUGAAAUGCGUAGAGAUCUGGAGGAAUACCGGUGGCGAAGGCGGCCCCCUGGACAAAGACUGACGCUCAGGUGCGAAAGCGUGGGGAGCAAACA